rnacentral:rRNA from 1 species
AAAUUGAAGAGUUUGAUCAUGGCUCAGAUUGAACGCUGGCGGCAGGCCUAACACAUGCAAGUCGAACGGUAACAGGAAGCAGCUUGCUGCUUUGCUGACGAGUGGCGGACGGGUGAGUAAUGUCUGGGAAACUGCCUGAUGGAGGGGGAUAACUACUGGAAACGGUGGCUAAUACCGCAUAACGUCGCAAGACCAAAGAGGGGGACCUUCGGGCCUCUUGCCAUCAGAUGUGCCCAGAUGGGAUUAGCUGGUUGGUGAGGUAACGGCUCACCAAGGCGACGAUCCCUAGCUGGUCUGAGAGGAUGACCAGCCACACUGGAACUGAGACACGGUCCAGACUCCUACGGGAGGCAGCAGUGGGGAAUAUUGCACAAUGGGCGCAAGCCUGAUGCAGCCAUGCCGCGUGUAUGAAGAAGGCCUUCGGGUUGUAAAGUACUUUCAGCGGGGAGGAAGGUGUUGUGGUUAAUAACCGCAGCAAUUGACGUUACCCGCAGAAGAAGCACCGGCUAACUCCGUGCCAGCAGCCGCGGUAAUACGGAGGGUGCAAGCGUUAAUCGGAAUUACUGGGCGUAAAGCGCACGCAGGCGGUCUGUCAAGUCGGAUGUGAAAUCCCCGGGCUCAACCUGGGAACUGCAUUCGAAACUGGCAGGCUUGAGUCUUGUAGAGGGGGGUAGAAUUCCAGGUGUAGCGGUGAAAUGCGUAGAGAUCUGGAGGAAUACCGGUGGCGAAGGCGGCCCCCUGGACAAAGACUGACGCUCAGGUGCGAAAGCGUGGGGAGCAAACAGGAUUAGAUACCCUGGUAGUCCACGCCGUAAACGAUGUCUACUUGGAGGUUGUGCCCUUGAGGCGUGGCUUCCGGAGCUAACGCGUUAAGUAGACCGCCUGGGGAGUACGGCCGCAAGGUUAAAACUCAAAUGAAUUGACGGGGGCCCGCACAAGCGGUGGAGCAUGUGGUUUAAUUCGAUGCAACGCGAAGAACCUUACCUGGUCUUGACAUCCACAGAACUUUCCAGAGAUGGAUUGGUGCCUUCGGGAACUGUGAGACAGGUGCUGCAUGGCUGUCGUCAGCUCGUGUUGUGAAAUGUUGGGUUAAGUCCCGCAACGAGCGCAACCCUUAUCCUUUGUUGCCAGCGGUCCGGCCGGGAACUCAAAGGAGACUGCCAGUGAUAAACUGGAGGAAGGUGGGGAUGACGUCAAGUCAUCAUGGCCCUUACGACCAGGGCUACACACGUGCUACAAUGGCGCAUACAAAGAGAAGCGACCUCGCGAGAGCAAGCGGACCUCAUAAAGUGCGUCGUAGUCCGGAUUGGAGUCUGCAACUCGACUCCAUGAAGUCGGAAUCGCUAGUAAUCGUGGAUCAGAAUGCCACGGUGAAUACGUUCCCGGGCCUUGUACACACCGCCCGUCACACCAUGGGAGUGGGUUGCAAAAGAAGUAGGUAGCUUAACCUUCGGGAGGGCGCUUACCACUUUGUGAUUCAUGACUGGGGUGAAGUCGUAACAAGGUAACCGUAGGGGAACCUGCGGUUGGAUCACCUCCUUACCUGAAAGAAGC